UACGUAGGGUGCGAGCGUUAAUCGGAAUUACUGGGCGUAAAGCGUGCGCAGGCGGUUCGUUAAGUCAGAUGUGAAAGCCCCGGGCUCAACCUGGGAACUGCAUUUGAAACUGGCGGGCUUGAGUGUGGCAGAGGGGGGUGGAAUUCCGCGUGUAGCAGUGAAAUGCGGUAGAGAGUGCGGAGGAACACCGAUGGCGAAGGCAGCCCCCUGGGCCAUGAACUGACGCCUGGAGAAGCGAAAGCAUGGGGAGCGAACAGG
rnacentral:rRNA from 1 species